rnacentral:rRNA from 1 species
CCUACGGGUGGCUGCAGUGAGGAAUAUUGGUCAAUGGCCGAGAGGCUGAACCAGCCAAGUCGCGUGAGGGAAGACGGCCCUACGGGUUGUAAACCUCUUUUGUCGGGGAGCAAAACGAGUCACGUGUGACGCAUUGAGAGUACCCUAAGAAAAAGCAUCGGCUAACUCCGUGCCAGCAGCCGCGGUAAUACGGAGGAUGCGAGCGUUAUCCGGAUUUAUUGGGUUUAAAGGGUGCGCAGGCGGAGGUGCAAGUCAGUGGUAAAAUUUCGGGGCUUAACCUCGUACUGCCGUUGAUACUGCAGACCUAGAGAGCGCGCGAAGUAUGCGGAAUGCGUGGAGUAGCGGUGAAAUGCAUAGAUAUCACGUAGAACUCCGAUUGCGAAGGCAGCAUACCGGCGUGCAACUGACGCUGAUGCACGAGAGCGUGGGUAUCGAACAGGAUUAGAUACCCUUGUAGUC